rnacentral:tRNA from 1 species
GGAGACAUGGCUCAAGUAGUUCAGAGCACUGGAUGCUAUUCCAGAGGACCUGGGUUCGAUUUCCAGUACCUAUA